AUUGAACGCUGGCGGCAGGCUUAACACAUGCAAGUCGAGCGGGGUGAUGUAGCUUGCUACAUUACCUAGCGGCGGACGGGUGAGUAAUGCUUAGGAAUCUGCCUAUUAGUGGGGGACAACAUUCCGAAAGGAAUGCUAAUACCGCAUACGCCCUACGGGGGAAAGCAGGGGAUCUUCGGACCUUGCGCUAAUAGAUGAUCCUAAGUCAGAUUAGCUAGUUGGUGGGGUAAAGGCCUACCAAGGCGACGAUCUGUAGCGGGUCUGAGAGGAUGAUCCGCCACACUGGGACUGAGACACGGCCCAGACUCCUACGGGAGGCAGCAGUGGGGAAUAUUGGACAAUGGGCGGAAGCCUGAUCCAGCCAUGCCGCGUGUGUGAAGAAGGCCUUUUGGUUGUAAAGCACUUUAAGCGAGGAGGAGGCUACUUGGAUUAAUACUCUAGGAUAGUGGACGUUACUCGCAGAAUAAGCACCGGCUAACUCUGUGCCAGCCGCCGCAGUAACAC
rnacentral:rRNA from 1 species